UUCCGAACUCGGCCGUGAAACGCCUCAGCGCCGAUGGUACUGCGUCUUAAGACGUGGGAGAGUAGGUCGCCGCCAGGU
rnacentral:rRNA from 1 species